rnacentral:tRNA from 1 species
GCGGGUGUAGUACAAUGGUUAGUACAUGGCAUUGCCAAUGCCAAGAUGAGGGUUCGAUUCCCUUCACCCGCUUCA